rnacentral:rRNA from 1 species
GACGAACGCUGGCGGCGUGCUUAACACAUGCAAGUCGAACGGAAAGGCCCUGCUUUUGUGGGGUGCUCGAGUGGCGAACGGGUGAGUAACACGUGAGUAACCUGCCCUUGACUUUGGGAUAACUUCAGGAAACUGGGGCUAAUACCGGAUAGGAGCUCCUGCUGCAUGGUGGGGGUUGGAAAGUUUCGGCGGUUGGGAAUGGACUCGCGGCUUAUCAGCUUGUUGGUGGGGUAGUGGCUUACCAAGGCUUUGACGGGUAGCCGGCCUGAGAGGGUGACCGGCCACAAUGGGACUGAGAUACGGCCCAGACUCCUACGGGAGGCAGCAGUGGGGAAUAUUGCACAAUGGGCGGAAGCCUGAUGCAGCAACGCCGCGUGCGGGAUGACGGCCUUCGGGUUGUAAACCGCUUUCGCCUGUGACGAAGCGUGAGUGACGGUAAUGGGUAAAGAAGCACCGGCUAACUACGUG